GUCUACAGCCAUGCCACCCUGAGCAAGCCGGAUCCCAUCUGAUCUCGGAAGCUAAGUAGGAUCGGGCCUGCUUAGUGCUUGGGUGGGAGACCACCUAGGAAGACCAGGUGCUGUAGGUG
rnacentral:rRNA from 1 species